CCUCCCGGACCACCAACGAAGGUGGGAUUGGGCGCCGCUGGAAAGGGUAGGAGGGUGGAGAGGGAGUGCAACCCUUCGGAGGAGCGUGGAUUGGGGGCACCCUCAUUAGAGCGGCUGCAGGCCUUUGGGUCGCUCAUCUCCUUCCUAGGCAACUAUCGCUAGUACUGAUGGAGUACCUACUAUGUGCGAAGCAGUGUUCUAAAAGGCUCAGCUCUCUUCAUUCUCACCUCAACCCCGUCAUCGAUUAGUUCCACCAUUUUACAGCAGGUAAGGCAGCUGGGACCUGCGGAGCCUCCAGCAUGAAGAGGAGGCUCAUAAUCAUCUGGAGAUGUCCCAUCCUGACCAGUCCCCUUCGUGUCCCAUCCCAACUCCUGUUCUUGGCUGUGCCGGCUGUCCCCUCCCCUGUCCUCUCCACCUCCUCUGUGCAGCCUAGAGACAACCCAGGAAAACCUUCCCUCAUCCUUAUCUACACCUUCCCCUCCCUGCCUUCCCCAGUUCCAGCUCUUUUCCAUACAACAGACUUAACUCUCACAGAGCGAUUAAAGAGAAAAACCACAGCCCAAAAUGGCCUUCAUACCUGAUCUAAUUGCAGUUUCAACCUUUCCCAGAAAUGUAAUCUUAAUCAGUCUGGAAUUUUCUGGUCAGGCAUCAGUAAGGUAACCUGUCACAUGGGCCCUGUCCAUCCUGCAUAGAAAGAAGAGGUGAUCUGCGUGAUAAAAACCCUUUCCUUUCUCUUCCCCACACAAAAAAAGUCCCAGCCCCCAAAUAAUCCUUUUCUUUUGUCAAUAGCUCCCUUGCCCCACCCUUAUUCCUAUAAACUUUCCAUGCCCUUCUAGUUGCUAGGUGGGAAGCUGCCUGAUUCAUGAAUUGCUUA